AAUGUCCAUCUCCGGUUCAACAUAAGGCUUGAGCUCAUCUUCUUCAAAUCCUGCGUUGAUCCAUCUGUCCUUCAUGAUUUGCUGCGGGCAAAAGCAAGUAAGAACUUGACUGGGGAGAUAUUUACACGGGAAGGGAAAAGGCUGAGAACUUCCCCCUGUUGCUAAAUCAUCAUACUACGUGAGCAGCCGUCAGAGCGGAUGAGUGGGAAAACCUGUGUGUCCACAGUCAAACAGGAUGCAACACAUGGAUGACAGUGAAUUACUCAUAAGUUAAAAAUUAGACAAGGUGGGCUGAAGAGGAAAGGAGGUGGGCGUCACGGAAGCAUGACCACGAGAGAAUGCUGGGACCAGGUGAGAGGAAAAGGUCGGGUGCUGGACACGUGGGGGUAGAUGACGUGUCUUCGAUGAUGAGGAUGGGCUCGGGCGGGGUGUAUAAAACUGAGAAGUAUAUUUACAUUUUCUGCUUCCUCCCUCACCUCGAGAGUACCCCGCUUGGAAGGGUUGAGCACCAGGAAGCGUUUCAGGAGGUUCUCGCAGUCUGUGGACAUGUAGAAUGGGAUGCGGUAUUUUCCUCUCAGCACUCGCUCUCGCAGCUCCUGAAGAGCGAGAGGAAAGAUCUAAGUUAGCAAGACGCAAGAGUGGUGACAAAGUUUGGACCAAAAGGAAGUGUCCUUCCCCAUAAAGAACUAUCUAUGACCUAUCAUUUUAAUCUAAAACAUAUGCAUAUUCAGCACAGAAGUAAAAAAAAAAUGAAUACCUUGAGGUUCUGUCCAUCAAAGGGCAGCGACCCACUGACCAGCGUGUACAGGAUGACCCCCAGGCUCCAGACGUCUACCUCAGGGCCAUCAUAUUUCUUCCCUUGGAAGAGUUCCGGCGCUGCGUAGGGAGGUGACCCGCAAAACGUGUCCAACUUGUUACCCAGCGUAAACUCGUUACUGAAGCCGAAAUCAGCUAUUUUUAUGUUCAUGUCCGCAUCAAGGAGCAGGUUCUCCGCCUGAGGACACAAGAAGGUUGAGUGGUCUGUGUUUAGAAAUCUAUUCAUGAACAUAAAAAUGUGAUAA